rnacentral:tRNA from 1 species
AGGCGUGUAGCUCAAUUGGUAGAGCACCGGUCUCCAAAACCGGCGGUUGUGGGUUCAAGUCCUACCACGCCUGCCA